rnacentral:rRNA from 1 species
UGGUGGAGUGAUUUGUCUGCUUAAUUGCGAUAACGAACGAGACCUUCCCCUGCUAAAUAGCCAGGCGAGCUUUGGCUCGUCGCGGGCUUCUUAGAGGGACAGUCGGCUCAAGCCGAUGGAAGUUGGAGGCAAUAACA